rnacentral:misc_RNA from 1 species
UUUCCGUAGGUGAACCUGCGGAAGGAUCAUCACUGAUCACGGCCUUGCCGCUGACCCCCUGUGCACUGUUCCAGCGCGCCCAUGCGGGCGCGCAUCGUAUUCACAAUUCCCGCGACGAGAGUCUGAGGCGCGCGCAUGCGCGGAACGGAACGCAACACAACUUUUAACAACGGAUCUCUUGGUUCUC